rnacentral:rRNA from 1 species
UACGUAGGGCGCAAGCGUUGUCCGGAAUUAUUGGGCGUAAAGAGCUCGUAGGUGGUUUGUCGCGUCUGUUGUGAAAGCCCGGGGCUUAACUCCGGGUUUGCAGUGGAUACGGGCAGGCUAGAGGCAGGUAGGGGAGAACGGAAUUCCUGGUGUAGCGGUGAAAUGCGCAGAUAUCGUUUGGAACGCCAAUGGUGAAAACAGGUUGCUGGGAGUGUGCUGACGCUGAGACACGAAAGCCAGGGGAGCAAACGGG